UCUCGAUGGCUUAAAAGUUAACUUAAAUUAGUGUAUGGAGUUGGAACAAUUGCCUACGUUUGCCCCUAGGGGCGCUGUUUCAACUCCAUAUAAAUUUUAGUUAACUUUUAGGAACUUUU
rnacentral:pre_miRNA from 9 species